rnacentral:rRNA from 1 species
UACAGAGGUCCCAAGCGUUGUUCGGAUUCACUGGGCGUAAAGGGUGCGUAGGUGGCCAGGUAAGUUUGGUGUGAAAGCUCGGAGCUUAACUCCGAAAAGUCAUUGAAUACUAUCUGGCUGGAGGGUCGGAGGGGAGACUGGAAUUCUCGGUGUAGCAGUGAAAUGCGUAGAUAUCGAGAGGAACAUCGGUGGCGAAGGCGGCCAACUGGACGAAUUCUGACGCUGAGACACGAAAGCGUGGGGAGCAAACAGG